rnacentral:rRNA from 1 species
GAUGAACGCUGGCGGCGUGCCUAAUACAUGCAAGUCGAGCGAACGGACGAGAAGCUUGCUUCUCUGAUGUUAGCGGCGGACGGGUGAGUAACACGUGGAUAACCUACCUAUAAGACUGGGAUAACUUCGGGAAACCGGAGCUAAUACCGGAUAAUAUUUUGAACCGCAUGGUUCAAAAGUGAAAGACGGUCUUGCUGUCACUUAUAGAUGGAUCCGCGCUGCAUUAGCUAGUUGGUAAGGUAACGGCUUACCAAGGCAACGAUGCAUAGCCGACCUGAGAGGGUGAUCGGCCACACUGGAACUGAGACACGGUCCAGACUCCUACGGGAGGCAGCAGUAGGGAAUCUUCCGCAAUGGGCGAAAGCCUGACGGAGCAACGCCGCGUGAGUGAUGAAGGUCUUCGGAUCGUAAAACUCUGUUAUUAGGGAAGAACAUAUGUGUAAGUAACUGUGCACAUCUUGACGGUACCUAAUCAGAAAGCCACGGCUAACUACGUGCCAGCAGCCGCGGUAAUACGUAGGUGGCAAGCGUUAUCCGGAAUUAUUGGGCGUAAAGCGCGCGUAGGCGGUUUUUUAAGUCUGAUGUGAAAGCCCACGGCUCAACCGUGGAGGGUCAUUGGAAACUGGAAAACUUGAGUGCAGAAGAGGAAAGUGGAAUUCCAUGUGUAGCGGUGAAAUGCGCAGAGAUAUGGAGGAACACCAGUGGCGAAGGCGACUUUCUGGUCUGUAACUGACGCUGAUGUGCGAAAGCGUGGGGAUCAAACAGGAUUAGAUACCCUGGUAGUCCACGCCGUAAACGAUGAGUGCUAAGUGCUAGGGGGUUUCCGCCCCUUAGUGCUGCAGCUAACGCAUUAAGCACUCCGCCUGGGGAGUACGACCGCAAGGUUGAAACUCAAAGGAAUUGACGGGGACCCGCACAAGCGGUGGAGCAUGUGGUUUAAUUCGAAGCAACGCGAAGAACCUUACCAAAUCUUGACAUCCUUUGACAACUCUAGAGAUAGAGCUUUCCCCUUCGGGGGACAAAGUGACAGGUGGUGCAUGGUUGUCGUCAGCUCGUGUCGUGAGAUGUUGGGUUAAGUCCCGCAACGAGCGCAACCCUUAAGCUUAGUUGCCAUCAUUAAGUUGGGCACUCUAAGUUGACUGCCGGUGACAAACCGGAGGAAGGUGGGGAUGACGUCAAAUCAUCAUGCCCCUUAUGAUUUGGGCUACACACGUGCUACAAUGGACAAUACAAAGGGCAGCGAAACCGCGAGGUCAAGCAAAUCCCAUAAAGUUGUUCUCAGUUCGGAUUGUAGUCUGCAACUCGACUACAUGAAGCUGGAAUCGCUAGUAAUCGUAGAUCAGCAUGCUACGGUGAAUACGUUCCCGGGUCU